rnacentral:lncRNA from 1 species
AUCAAAUCCAUAAGUUCAACCAUGUAAAUCAUCGACCUUCACAAGGAUUCAUGCAUCUCAAUCAUGUAGCAUACUCUCCUAUAUCAUCCUCAUGUUCGGAACCUAGUGGGGGUCCAACACAUUUGACUAAAGGUCCAUCAUCUCUGAACUUGACCAUCGGGAUAUUCUUUGAAGCUGGGGCUCCUUAGAAUACCCCUCUUUUCCUUUUCUAAGAGUAAGGCAGAAGAUCAAUAUCAAUAAAAUCCCAAUUUAUCGUUUGUUCAAAAUCAAGCUAUAAAAAGACACCUAAACAAAUCAUCAAAUUAGCACGGAUCAAGAUAUUCGCCAAGCAAACAAGAAAUAAACUCAUCACAACUAUUCUUUAUUUUAAUCAUUUCAUUUAACUAUGAAGAGCACUUAAAAGCAUAGAUAAAAAUAUCAAAGAAUCCCUUACCGUAAUUGGGUUGACUUAGCCUUUUGGAGUUAAAGAGAGAGCUUCUAAAAUUUUUUUCGAAUGAGUUUGUCAAACUCCUAUCUUUUCCUUUCUUUCUUACCCUUUCUCUCUCUAAAAAUCUCUCCUCUUUCUCUCUCUAAAU